GACAACUUGAGGCAUUUUCCUCCGCUCCUCCUGUUUCUUUUCUUCUUCUUCUUCUUCUUCUUCUUCUUCUACUUCUUCUUCAUCGUUGUCGUUGUGAAAAUAAAGGUGACAGUGACUUUAUAUGGUGUUUGUGAGCAGGUUUUAAGGUGAUUUAUAGUGUUUUACAGUAGUGAGAUGAUGUAGCUCUUUUCUUUGUUACCGCAUAGGGUUUCUUCUUCUUCUUCUUCUUCUUCUUCUUCUUCUUCUUCUUCUUCUUCUUCUUCUUCUUCUUCUUCUUCUUCUUCGUGAAAUGAGUUUGCUAUAUUUGUUGUUGUUUUGACAAAUUAAUAAUUGGUGUUUGUUGAAAUUCGAAGAACAAACUUUUGUUUCUGGGAAAUUUGUACUUCAGACCUAUUUGGCCUUAAUUAAGUGCAUGAAAGCAUUGUUGUAUUUCAAACUUAUUUGGCCUUAAGUGCAUGAAAUAUUUGUUACACUUGAGACCUAUUUUGCCUUAAGUCUAAUAUUUGCACGUUAGACUUAAUUGGCCUUAAGUGCAUUAUACUUCAGACGAAUUUUUUCCUUCAACGCCAACCCCGACAAGUUUGAAGUUGAUCCUAAAGUGGAUAGACUUGCAAAUUUUUGUGCAAAGUGGGUAUAACUUCAAUAGCGUCUUUCGCUCUCUCUUAUUAGAGGAAGGAAGGGGCGCGAAUCCACUCAGCUUGAAGAAGUAGCUCUUUCAACUGAUCCAUAUUUUUCCUUUCCUCCUGGAUUUUAGUAAAAACUUUUCUAAAACAUAAAUUGAUGAUUUGAAAGCUGAUUUGAAGUCGGAAUUAGAUAAAAUUGAUAUGGUUGGGGUCGUAUCAGAAAUGUAUGUUCAGAAUUUGUGAGUUUGGUCAAGCUCCGGGGUGCGGCCCCGGGGUUAACUUUUUGAUUUUAGCUAAAGAUCUAAGCUUUAUUAUUCAGAAUCAUUUUCUAUGACUUUUAUUUAUGAUAUUAAGUUAUUGUGGCUAGAUUCGAGCUAUCCGAAGGUAGAUUCACACGGAAAGGGCUUAUUAGAGGAUUGGUUUAGCUUGAUUGAGGUAAGUAUCUUGCCUAACUUUGUGUGGGAGAAAUUUUUCUUAGGAUUUGGUCUAAUUUGAAAUAUUUGUACUAUGUGAAACGAUGUGUACACAAGAUGACGAGUGUGUACACGGGUGUAUAUGUGGAUUAUGACCGGAAUAGACCUUAGGCUAUUAAUAUGCCUUGAUUUAGAGCUGUUGUAAUAUGAAACAUGCUUUUAUUCUAUUGAUCACUCCCCGCGCCCUUAUAUUAUUGUUAUGAUUCUUGUACAUAUUGUUGGUGAACCGUGAGCUCUAUCUUGUUGUGGCAUUGGUAUUGUUAUUGUGGUGAUGAUGUAGCACAUAUGUACAUGAGGUGCGGGUGAUUGUUAUUAUUUUGUUGUGAUGAGAUGUGCAUGCGGCAGAAUAAAGGUGGUGUGUACAUUGAUGUGCAUGCAGCGAGAUAAGGGGGUUUAUGCGCGUGUUGCUAGUAUGGGAAAAUAUUUCAUUGUGAAGCACACACAACAAGAUAAGGAAGCUUAUACACGUGAAGCUAUUUCGAAAAAAUGUUUUUAAAAUGUGAAGCUCAUGCGGCGUCAUAAGGGUGAAUUGUGAUUUGUGACUAUGAGGUGUGAUAUCUCGGGAUAAUUCUUGAUGUAAAUCUUGUGUUGGAAUGACUUGAGGAUUUGAACUGUCAUUGUAUUCCUUAAUUGAUUCACUUGCAUUUUAGCUGUGUUUGGGUUAAUUUGCUUUGUUAUCACAUGUUACUCUUUUUUGUCAUUUAUUGAUUUUGCUUUCCGUUGUUAGCUUUAUAUUGAUAUUCUACACAGGUUUUAUGUCUAGUGAGUGUCUUGACUUGAACCUCGUCACUACUCCAGGUACUUACUGGGUAUCGUUGUGGUGUACUCAUACUAUGCUUCUACACAUUUUUGUGCAGAUCCAGGUACCUCAGAGCAUGCCGAACGUUAGUGGACUGAUUUUGAGUUGGUAAAGAGACUUCAAGGUAUACCUGAUGUCCCGCUCGCAGGUUUCGGAGUCUCCUUCUACUGUUUUCAUAUUAAUGUUUAUUGUAUUGCAAACAAUUAUGUAUUUUGAGGCUCAUCAUGUACUUCUUGUAGAGCUUAUGACUCAGUAGUACCUGUUUUGAGAUUUAUGUGACUUUUGUAUUUCUGUUGGUUAAUUCAUGGCACUCUUCAG
rnacentral:lncRNA from 1 species